AAUCAACGCUGGCGGCGUGCCUAACACAUGCAAGUCGAGCGCGAAAGGGGGGGUAACUCCCCAAGUAGAGCGGCGAACGGGUGAGUAACGCGUGGGUGAUCUACCUUCGAGUGGGGAAUAACACCGGGAAACUGGUGCUAAUACCGCAUGACAUCCUCGGUUCAUUCCGGGGAUCAAAGCCGGGGACCGCAAGGCCUGGCGCUUGAAGAGGAGCCCGCGUCCGAUUAGCUAGUUGGCGGGGUAACGCCCACCAAGGCUUCGAUCGUAGCCGGCCUGAGAGGGCGGACGGCCACACUGGGACUGAGACACGGCCCAGACUCCUACGGGAGGCAGCAGUGGGGAAUUUUGGUACAAUGGGCGCAAGCCUGAUCCAGCGAUGCCGCGUGUGUGAAGAAGGCCUGCGGGUUGUAAAGCACUUUCAGU
rnacentral:rRNA from 1 species